GGAGGAAUUCAGGAUAGGAAUAUAUAGGUGUUGUGUUACUUCAAGUCAUUCAGCCGUUUACUUUAGUAAAGAAACUUCAUGGAUCCAUCAUGAACUAUUGCACUUAUAACAACUUUAUGUUCUUAUUAAGAAAUAUAUCAUAUAUACUGAUCAUGAGUUACUUAAAUAGAUCUCUAAGGAGAUGAUAAGUUAAACAAAAGAGUGGAUAGACUCUUUUGCAACAAUACUCUUAUAUUAUUAAAUAUUCUCACACAUUAAUACUAGAAAAUAAAGCAAUAAUAGUCAUCAAAAUGUUGGUCUCCUUUAAUCUUCUUGAAAUGUUAUUACAUUAUAAGUUUCUUAAGAGUAAAAUAUGAACCAAGCAGCACCAAAUCAUGAUUAUUUAUUUAUAUUUCUACUUUACGUAGAAUGAGUUGAGCACCAUAUUGGGGUUGAAGAGUAAGCACAGUUGAUGGAGCAUGGGUAUAGGUNNNN
rnacentral:lncRNA from 1 species